rnacentral:rRNA from 1 species
CCUACGGGAGGCAGCAGUGGGGAAUAUUGCUCAAUGGGGGAAACCCUGAUGCAGCGACGCCGCGUGAGUGAAGACGUCUUUCGGUAUGUAAAGCUCUAUCAGCAGGGAAGCAAAAAGCCGGUACCUGACUCAGAAGCACCGGCUAACUAAGUGCCAGCAGCCGCGGUCAUACGUAGGGGGCAAGCGUUAUCCGGAUUUCCUGGGUGUAAAGGGAGGGUAGACGGCGCGGCAAGUCUGAAGUGAAAGGCAGGGGCGUAACCCCUGAACUGCUGUGGACACUGCCAUGCUAGAGUGCUGGAGAGGUAAGUGGAAUGCCUAGGGUAGCGGUGAAAUGCGUAGAUAUUAGGAGGAACACCAGUGGCGAAGGCGGCUUACUGGACAGUAACUGACGUUGAGGCUCGAAAGCGUGGGGAGCAAACAGGAUUAGAUACCCUAGUAGUC